rfam:Salmo salar isolate Sally breed double haploid chromosome ssa12, whole genome shotgun sequence.
UGCACUCACUACUGUAAGUCACUCUGGAUAAGAGUGUCUGCUAAAUGACUGAAA